CUGUUAAUCAACUGGAGACGCAUUACGAUUGAAUAGAAACUGCGCAACAGAUGCAAUUAGACAGUAUUUUUGCAUGAGAUGCAUCUUUGGUAAUUUAUUGAUGUUAGUGGAAAUGAAUGAAUUCAAAGCGGAAGAUUUGGUUGUAGCAUAUCGUGCAAUGCAAUUAGAUGGGUUUUGGCUUUGAUAUUUGGGCAGUUAAUGCUUUAAAUGGGGG
rnacentral:misc_RNA from 1 species